rnacentral:rRNA from 1 species
UGCGGAAGGAUCAUUAGUGAAUAUAGGACGUCCAACUUAACUUGGAGUCCGAACUCUCACUUUCUAACCCUGUGCACUUGUUUGGGAUAGUAACUCUCGCAAGAGAGCGAACUCCUAUUCACUUAUAAACACAAAGUCUAUGAAUGUAUUAAAUUUUAUAACAAAAUAAAACUUUCAACAACGGAUCUCUUGGCUCUCGCAUCGAUGAAGAACGCAGCGAAAUGCGAUAAGUAAUGUGAAUUGCAGAAUUCAGUGAAUCAUCGAAUCUUUGAACGCACCUUGCGCUCCAUGGUAUUCCGUGGAGCAUGCCUGUUUGAGUGUCAUGAAUACUUCAACCCUCCUCUUUCUUAAUGAUUGAAGAGGUGUUUGGUUUCUGAGCGCUGCUGGCCUUUACGGUCUAGCUCGUUCGUAAUGCAUUAGCAUCCGCAAUCGAACUUCGGAUUGACUUGGCGUAAUAGACUAUUCGCUGAGGAAUUCUAGUCUUCGGACUAGAGCCGGGUUGGGUUAAAGGAAGCUUCUAAUCAGAAUGUCUACAUUUUAAGAUUAGAUCUCAAAUCAGGUAGGACUACCCGCUGAACUUAAGCAUAUCAAUAA